GUAUUCCCCAAGGGUAUUGCAGGUAUGGCUGCUGUGUCACAUGUGUGUCAGUGGGUGGCAGAGAGGAGAAAGGCUAUGUCUAUGCCCAGUGUUCUGGCCUGUGAACGUCUAAAUGAUUAGUACCCUACCGUC
ensembl:snoRNA